rnacentral:rRNA from 1 species
UACGGAGGGGGCUAGCGUUGUUCGGAAUUACUGGGCGUAAAGCGCACGUAGGCGGCUCUUUAAGUCGGGGGUGAAAUCCUGGAGCUCAACUCCAGAACUGCCUUCGAUACUGUAGAGCUUGAGUUCGGGAGAGGUGAGUGGAACUGCGAGUGUAGAGGUGAAAUUCGUAGAUAUUCGGAAGAACACCAGUGGCGAAGGCGACUUACUGGACACAUAUUGACGCUGAGGUGCGAAAGCGUGGGGAGCAAACAGG